rnacentral:rRNA from 1 species
AACGAACGCUGGCGGCAGGCCUAACACAUGCAAGUCGAGCGAGCAUUUCGGUGCUAGCGGCGGACGGGUGAGUAACGCGUGGGAACGUGCCCUUUUCUGCGGAAUAGUCCUGGGAAACUGGGGGUAAUACCGCAUACGCCCUUUUGGGGAAAGAUUUAUCGGAGAAGGAUCGGCCCGCGUUGGAUUAGGUAGUUGGUGGGGUAAUGGCCCACCAAGCCGACGAUCCAUAGCUGGUUUGAGAGGAUGAUCAGCCACACCGGGACUGAGACACGGCCCAGACUCCUACGGGAGGCAGCAGUGGGGAAUCUUAGACAAUGGGGGCAACCCUGAUCUAGCCAUGCCGCGUGAGUGAUGAAGGCCUUAGGGUUGUAAAGCUCUUUCAGCUGGGAAGAUAAUGACGGUACCAGCAGAAGAAGCCCCGGCUAACUCCGUG